UAAGUUCGAAUAUUUCGUUUUCUUUUGUAUGUGAACGAAAUAAUUUACGAUCUGUGUUUUUAGAAUAUUUUAUAUUUCGGAAUCGCUUGAACAGUUGUAAUAAUUCUAAAUCUGUACCACAACACACAGGUUAUCACAUUUCAGCGCUCGACGGAUUCCUAGCGGGCGAGACGGUUUUUAUGACUGACCACGCAACUAUGGAUUUGUAGCGAUGACAUCACAAUCACGUGACCGCAAUGUGAGAGAUAUAGGAUUGAAUUGUCGUCUGUAGCUCAUCGAAUCGGUACUUAUGACACUAACACAGAGGUGUCUCAUGUGUGUAUAAAAACGAUAGGACAAAGGGAGGUUGUACGGAUAUUGUUGAAAGGAACGAUUAUAUGUCAAGCUGAGGUGGAUCACAUUUAUCGAACACGAAAUGAACAAAUUAGUGCACAUUUUGAACCUGGUCCAGCUCUUGCUGUUUGGGAUUAUUGGAUGCCUGUCAUACCCUUCCAUUGAGAUCCGGGAUAGUUACAGCAGACAGACCAAGGCUAUCCGAUUAGCGAACUGCCAAUUUGAUGACGUACUACACACAAACUGCUAUUCAUGUGCGAGACUUUACGACAGCCACGCCCUGUAUAAAGACUGCUGCAAGGGCGUAGACACCAUUUUGGCGGAAAUAUGCGCGACUGGAGUAUGAAAAGUCUGGAGCAAACAAAAGUCUGUCUUUCUGAUGGAUGCAAAUAUAAAAAGAACCAUAAAGCUUCGAUGCAUUUUUAUGGUCAGCAACUUCUGGACAUUUAAUCAAUUGUAAAAUUUCAAUUUAGAAUCUCAAAAAGGGCAUUCUUUUACAAUAUAAUUGGCGUAUAGCGUUAUCCAGGUGUUUUGUAUUUAUAUACACAGAAUACUUGUAAAUCUACUUUUUCCUGAGCAAAACCUUGCAUGUAUAACAAAUAUAUCUUAAUCCAUAAAGUACAGAACUGUUUGGUUCCAAAACAUUUUACCAUGUACUAACGAAAAUCUACAUGGUGCAGACAAUUUCAGCUACCGAAUAUAGUUUUAUGUAUAGACAAACAUAAGAUUAAUAUUUGAAAUAAUUUUUAAAGACUAAAAAAGAUGUUUUGUAUUUAUGUUUGUCAGUUAUGAAAUGGAUUUGAUGUUUUUCGUCUAGAAUGUCAUUUUUGUAAAACGAUAUAAAAAUGCUUGCGAUAA